CCUACGGGAGGCAGCAGCAAGGAAUUUUGGGCAAUGGACGAAAGUCUGACCCAGCGACACCGCGUGAGGGAAUAAGGCCUUCGGGUUGUAAACCUCUUUUCUUGGGGAAGAAUCUCGACGGUACCCAAGGAAUAAGCCUCGGCCAACUACGUGCCAGCAGCCGCGGUAAUACGUAGGAGGCGAACGUUAUUCGGAUUUACUGGGCGUAAAGGGAGCGUAGGCGGUUCCUUAAGUCGGAUGUGAAAUCUUCUGACUCAAUCGGAAGGCGCCAUUUGAUACUGAGGGACUUGAGAGCAGCAGAGGGAAAUGGAAUCUCCAGUGUAGCGGUGAAAUGCGUAGAUAUUGGAGAGAACACCAGUGGCAAAGGCGGUUUCCCAGGCUGCUUCUGACGCUGAGGCUCGAAAGCGUGGGGAGCGAAGCGGAUUAGAUACCCGCGUAGUCCACGCCCUAAACGGUGGACACUAGAUAUGGGAGGUAUCGACCCUUUCUGUGUCGAAGCUAACGCUUUAAGUGUCCCGCCUGGGGAGUACGGCCGCAAGGCUGAAACUUAAAGGAAUUGACGG
rnacentral:rRNA from 1 species